GGUGACUCUACCUUGAUUCUUGUUUUCUGUUGGUGUACCAGUUAAGCAAAGAAAAGAAGAUGGUGUGAUACUCUCCAGACAUGUAGGAUUACUGACUGGCCUGGGGUAGUCUGGUCUGGCUCAAGGCAACUUGUCUCCAGAGAACCUGUCUUCGGAGAAUGCCCUAAAUAAAGGUUGACGUGUAGGGCCUUAUGCC
rnacentral:lncRNA from 1 species